GGAAAUCCCCCUCCCUCCGGACUGAGACACGGUGAUAGCAAGGCAUGGGGGAUGGGGGGUGUUGCCCAAAUCAAAGAUGGCUGAUAAGCAGGGCUGCGCAAGGCGGCUACUCCAACGCUUUCCACGGGUAUUCUGAGACUGUCCAGUUUGACCAAUGUACAUGGCAGAGGGGCAUUGCUGGCACAUGAUGGCAUAUAUCACAUUGAUUACAAAGACAGCAGGCAAAAUCUUUCAGAAUUACAACAGGGGUGGAGGCUAAAACAAAGGAAUGGAGCCCGAACCUCUGAGGAAUAUGCUAACGAGCCUCGCCAGCACAUCAGGUUUGGCAGUCGAGUUAUUCCUUAUGAUCCAAAGUGACAGUUAGGACUCUGACGAUGAUACAGACACGAGUAAUGCAUACGACACGAGAUUGCUUGUGGCAUUCACAGAUAUGCUCACCACCGUAGAACGGCACUUUUGUGCUCGGGGAAACAAGCGCUGAGUGGUGGGAUCACAUCGUCAUGCAAGUCUGGGGUGACGAGCAGUGGCUGCAGAACUUUCAGAUGAGAAAAGUCACUUUCAUGGGACUGUGUGAGGAGCUCGCCCCCACCCUGAGGCACAAGGACAUGAGAUUGAGAGCUGCCCUGACGGUGGAGAAGCGGGUGGCUAUUGCAGUCUGGAAGCUGGCAACUCCAGACAGCUACCGAUUGGUCGCUAACCAGUUUUGAGUGGGGAAGUUGACUGCUGGAAUCAUGUUGAUGCAAGUUUGCAGGGCCAUUAAUCCCAUCCUGCUCAGAAGAACCGUGACUUCGGAUAACGUGCAUGACGUUGUGGCUGGCUUUGCAAAAAUGGGUUUCCCUAACUGUGGAGGGGCGAUAGAUGGGAUGCAUAUUCCAAUUCUGGCACCAGCCCACCUAGCCUCCGAGUACGUUAAUUGAA